GCGGACGUAGUGCACGGCGCACCACUGCCUUGUGUAACUCCUUCUUUCGUGAUCCAAUUGCAAGCAGUUGAGGGGUUCGACUCCCCGCGUCCGCC